rnacentral:rRNA from 1 species
AACGAACGCUGGCGGCAGGCCUAACACAUGCAAGUCGAGCGAGACCUUCGGGUCUAGCGGCGGACGGGUGAGUAACGCGUGGGAAUAUGCCCUUCUCUACGGAAUAGCCUCGGGAAACUGGGAGUAAUACCGUAUACGCCCUUCGGGGGAAAGAUUUAUCGGAGAAGGAUUAGCCCGCGUUGGAUUAGGUAGUUGGUGGGGUAAUGGCCUACCAAGCCGACGAUCCAUAGCUGGUUUGAGAGGAUGAUCAGCCACACUGGGACUGAGGCACGGCCCAGACUCCUACGGGAGGCAGCAGUGGGGAAUCUUAGACAAUGGGCGCAAGCCUGAUCUAGCCAUGCCGCGUGAUUGAUGAAGGCCUUAGGGUUGUAAAGAUCUUUCAGCUGGGAAGAUAAUGACGGUACCAGCAGAAGAAGCCCCGGCUAACUCCGUGCCAGCAGCCGCAGUAA